GAGUUUGAUCAUGGCUCAGAUUGAACGCUGGCGGUAUGCUUAACACAUGCAAGUCGAACGGUAACAGGAGAGAGCUUGCUCUUUUGCUGACGAGUGGCGGACGGGUGAGUAAUGCGUAGGAAUCUGCCUAGUAGUGGGGGACAACGUGUGGAAACGCACGCUAAUACCGCAUACGCCCUACCGGGGAAAGGACGGGGAGUCUUCGGUACCGUCGCGCUAUUAGAUGAGCCUACGUUAGUAUUAGUCUAGUUGGUGGGGUAAAGGGACCGUACCAAGGCGACGAUCUAUAGCUGGUCUGAGAGGAUGAUCAGCCACACUGGGACGUGAGACACGGCCC
rnacentral:rRNA from 1 species